GACGAACGCUGGCGGCGUGCUUAACACAUGCAAGUCGAACGGAAAGGCCCCUUUGGGGGUACUCGAGUGGCGAACGGGUGAGUAACACGUGCGUAACCUGCCCUUGACUUCGGGUUAACUUCAGGAAACUGGGGCUAAUACCGGAUAGGAAUCCUUGCUGCAUGGUGGGGGUUGGAAAGCUUCGGCGGUUUUGGAUGGACUCGCGGCUUAUCAGCUUGUUGGUGGGGUAGUGGCUUACCAGGGCUUUGACGGGUAGCCGGCCUGAGAGGGCGACCGGCCACAGUGGGACUGAGAUACGGCCCAGACGCCUACGGGGGGCAGCAGUGGGGAAUAUUGCACAAUGGGCGGAAGCCUGAUGCAGCAACGCCGCGUGCGGGAUGACGGCCUUCGGGUUGUAAACCGCUUUCAGCAGGGGCGAAGCUUGUGGUGACGGUACCUGCAGAAGAAGCACCGGCUAACUACGUG
rnacentral:rRNA from 1 species